UCCGGCUUAACGCCGGCAGUCUCGCUAGAGUUCCCCUCGACGAAUCGAGGCUGGCAACUAGCGAUAAGGGUUUCGCUCGUUAAGGGACUUAACCCGACACUUCACAGCACGAGCUGACGACAGCCAUGCAGCACCUGUGCACGUUUCACCCGAAGGCAGCCUACUCGGCUUUCGCCAAGAGCAUCCGUGCAUGUCAAACCUAGGUAAGGUUCUUCGCGUUGCUUCGAAUUAAUCCACAUGCUCCACCGCUUGUGUGAGCCCCCGUCAAUUCCUUUGAGUUUUAGCCUUGCGGCCGUACUCCCCAGGCGGCACACUUACCGCUUUGGUUUCGAUACGAACGGCGUCAGAGCCACUCUUAUCUAGUGUGCAUCGUUUACGGCGUGGACUAC
rnacentral:misc_RNA from 1 species